GGUGAGUACACGUAAGCAACCUACCCUAAAGACGAGGAUAACCAUUGGAAACAGUGGCUAAGACUGGAUAGGAAGAUAAAAGGCAUCUUGUAUCUUUUAAAAGACCUAGUUAAUAGGUAUGCUUUAGGAGGGGCUUGCGCCAUAUUAGUUAGUUGGUAGGGUAAUGGCCUACCAAGACGAUGAUGUGUAGCUGGACUGAGAGGUUGAACAGCCACAUUGGGACUGAGACACGGCCCAAACUCCUACGGGAGGCAGCAGUAGGGAAUUUUCGGCAAUGGAGGAAACUCUGACCGAGCAACGCCGCGUGAAUGACGAAGUACUUCGGUAUGUAAAGUUCUUUUAUCGAGGAAGAAAAGCAAAUGGCGAACCAUUUGUUUGCCGGUACUUGAUGAAUAAGCCCCGGCUAAUUAUGUGCCAGCAGCCGCGGUAAGACAUAAGGGGCAAGUGUUAUCCGGAAUUAUUGGGCGUAAAGGGUGCGUAGGCGGUCUAGUAAGUCAGUGGUGUAAUGGCAACGCUUAACGUUGUCCGGCUAUUGAAACUGCUAAACUUGAGUUAGAUAGAGGCGAGUGGAAUUCCAUGUGUAGCGGUAAAAUGCGUAAAUAUAUGGAGGAACACCAGAGGCGUAGGCGGCUCGCUGGGUCUUAACUGACGCUGAGGCACGAAAGCGUGGGGAGCAAACAGGAUUAGAUACCCUGGUAGUCCACGCCGUAAACGAUGAGUACUAAGUGUCGGGUUAAACCGGUACUGAAGUUAACACAUUAAGUACUCCGCCUGAGUAGUACGUACGCAAGUAUGAAACUUAAAGGAAUUGACGGGACUCCGCACAAGCGGUGGAUCAUGGUUGUUUAAUUCGAAGAUACCCGAAAAACCUUACCAGGUCUUGACAUGUUUUUGCAAAAUGAUAGUAAUAUCGUGGAGGUUACCAGAAACACAGGUGGUGCAUGGUUGUCGUCAGCUCGUGUCGUGAGAUGUUAGGUUAAGUCCUAAAACGAGCGAAACCCUUAUCGUUAGUUGCCAGCACGUUAUGGUGGGGACUUUAACGAGACUGCCAAUGAUAAAUUGGAGGAAGGUGAGGAUCACGUCAAAUCAGCAUGCCCCUUAUGACCUGGGCUACAAACGUGAUACAAUGGCUGUUACAAAGGGUAGCUGAAACGCAAGUUCUUGGCCAAUCCCCAAAAACAGUCCCAGUCCGGAUUGAAGUCUGCAACUCGACUUCAUGAAGUUGGAAUCGCUAGUAAUCGCGAAUCAGCAUGUCGCGGUGAAUACGUUCUCGGGGUUUGUACACACCGCCCGUCAAACCACGAAAGUUGGCAAUACCCCAAAACGGUAGCCUAACUCGUU
rnacentral:rRNA from 2 species